UCUCCGUAGGUGAACCUGCGGAGGGAUCAUUACAGAGUUCGCGCCCUCGCGGGUAGAUCUCCCACCCUGUGUUAUUGCUACCUUUGUUGCUUUGGCGGGCCGCCCUCGGCUACCGGCCCCGGCUGGUACGCGCCCGCCAGAGGACCCCAAACCCUGAACGUCAGUGUCGUCUGAGUACUAUACAAUAGUUAAAACUUUCAACAACGGAUCUCUUGGUUCUG
rnacentral:misc_RNA from 1 species